rnacentral:rRNA from 1 species
GACGUAGGGCGCGAGCGUUGUCCGGAUUUAUUGGGCGUAAAGAGCUCGUAGGCGGCUUGUCGCGUCGAAUGUGAAAACUCGGGGCUCAACUCCGAGCUUGCAUUCGAUACGGGCAGGCUAGAGUUCGGUAGGGGGAGACUGGAAUUCCUGGUGUAGCGGUGAAAAUGCGCAGAUAUCAGGAGGAACACCGGUGGCGAAGGCGGGUCUCUGGGCCGAUACUGACGCUGAGGAGCGAAAGCGUGGGGAGCGAACAGG